CCCUGCUGGAAUUAAAUUUCACCUGCAUUUAAUUAGCCUCCACUGAAACAAACAGAGCUAAUGAGCUUUACCACUCUUUUUUAUCAAAUUCGUUUCGACCCUUAACUCAAAUUCACUAUUUAUUUAAUAUAAUUUAAAAAUUAAAUUUAAAUAAAAAAUAUUUUUAAUUAGUAAAUAACAAUUUGGAGCAAUAUAUGUUCUUCUAAACCUAUUCCUUUCUCUUUCAGGGAAACCUUUAUCAUUUGGAAAUAAAUUAUUUUCUAAUCGUUGGCCCAAGUUCAAGUAAUCCAAUAUUGUUGACUCUGGAUCGGGUCGGUAUCUCUUCCUGCUAGGGCUUUAUAAGUUAUAUAUAUAAAUGGUGUAGAUGGUAGAAAUCCUUGCCAGCAAUUGAUUGCCGCCUCUGCAUCCGGCUAGGGUUCAACGAAUAACCGAGAAAGCGGCAUCAAGUUUCCUUUUAUCCUAUCACCAUGAGAGCCAAGUGGAAGAAGAAGCGCAUGAGAAGACUGAAGAGGAAGCGCCGAAAGAUGAGACAGAGAUCCAAGUAGACAGAACCAUCAGCCCCUCUGUUAUACGAGGUUUCACAAUGUCUUAGCUAAUAUCGGUGUACUUUUAGGGUCCACUUAGUUAAUAUGCCAUUUUUAUUUCAGUUUUAAGCUUCUUUUUUUCUCUUGGGUUUCUAUUGUCUUUCAAGUUGGUGCUAAUCCGACUGUGGGAUCAUGUAUCAUUGUUGAGAACAGUGAAUUGCAAAAAGCAGCAGAUUUUAA